rnacentral:rRNA from 1 species
CUGGCUCAGGACGAACGCUGGCGGCGUGCCUAAUACAUGCAAGUCGAACGGUCUUUCUAUGGAAGCUUGCUUCCACUGAGAAGAUAGUGGCGAACGGGUGAGUAACACGUGGGUAACCUGCCCAUAAGAGGGGGAUAACAUCCGGAAACGGGUGCUAAUACCGCAUAGUUUUCUUGAUCGCAUGAUCGGGAAAGGAAAGACGGCCUUUGUGCUGUCGCUUAUGGAUGGACCCGCGGCGUAUUAGUUAGUUGGUGAGGUAACGGCUCACCAAGACGAUGAUACGUAGCCGACCUGAGAGGGUGAUCGGCCACAUUGGGACUGAGACACGGCCCAAACUCCUACGGGAGGCAGCAGUAGGGAAUCUUCCGCAAUGGACGAAAGUCUGACGGAGCAACGCCGCGUGAGUGAAGAAAAGGUUUUCGGAUCGUAAAACUCUGUUGUCAGAGAAGAACAAGUUGGAGAGUAACUGCUCCAGCCUUGACGGUAUCUGACCAGAAAGCCACGGCUAACUACGUGCCAGCAGCGGC